rnacentral:tRNA from 1 species
UCCCUCGUAGCUCAGACGGUAAAGCGUCCGCCUGCAGCGCAGGAGACCUGGGCUCGAUUCCUGGCUCGGGAA